rnacentral:rRNA from 1 species
UACGUAGGGGGGCGAGCGUUUGUCCGGAUUUACUGGGCGUAAAGCGCGUGUAGGCGGCCGUUUUAAGUCGGGUGUGAAAGCCCGGGGCUCAACCCCGGGAUGCCGCCCGAGACUGGACGGCUUGAGGUCGGAAGAGGGGAGUGGAAUUCCCGGUGUAGUGGUGGAAUGCGUGAGAUCGGGAGGAACACCAAUGGCGAAGGCAGCUCGCUGGGACGGUACUGACGCUGAGGCGCGAAAGCGUGGGGAGCAAACAGG